rnacentral:lncRNA from 1 species
AUGAUGCUGGGGGAGGUGACUGCGUUCUCGAAGCGGCCACUGCCUUGCAAGGUCAAGGAUAUUCAGUGGUUGCUGGGGUUCGUGGGCCACUGCCACCCACUCAUUGUAAACUCUGUUAGCCCAAUUGCCCUGCUGAACAACUGCCUGACUACAGGCUUCAGGCCCCCCUGGAUUCCAGCCACGGCUGUUCAGGUGGGACCAUGGUGCUCAUUAAGCAUGAAUGGGGGGGGGAGGACACACAUUGGGGCCACCAUUCUGGGGGGUGGGACCUUUAAUGGGGGGUGUACAGAUCACUUUCUCUUUGCGCUCAGUGUCUACUGUCCACCUGCUGGAUGGAGGUGCCCGCAGAUGAACGGGUGCAGGCAUCGUGAAGGUUUCCACGGGCCCCGGGCGAGGGCAGGAGACCCAGCAUGGAAGUGGAGUGGGAACUGCCAUCUCGCUGACCCCUGGGCCUACCCACGCGGCACGCGGAAGUCGCAUGAUGCUUGCAUUUUGUUGGUGCUUGUUUUGGGGCUCUGGGCUGCUGCUGUUGCACAUCUGUGACCUGGACCACUUCCUGCAGCUUUGGAAUUUGACAUGGCUGUGUCCUCCACCACGUAGACGGACAGUAGUGCCCGUGGUUGAUCACCCAUGCCGUUACUAAUUUCUCACCAUCAGAAAUGGAAGAAUGUCUUCGUGCAUAACGCUUUUCCCCGAUGCCAAGUUAUUUCCUUAGGAUAGAUCCUCAGAGGUGGGAUUAUUGAAUUAAUAUGAACACCUCUGAUCCUCUUGUUACAUACUGACGGAUUGGUUUCCAGCGAUGUUUGUAUCCAUCGACACUGCCGCCAGCCAGGAUGUACGGCACUGUACCAUCUCGCCAGCUCUGAGUAUUAUCCUCUGGCUAAAUAUUUGCUGAUCUGAAACAAUAAUGAAAUAGUGAUACAUAUGAAACAUAGCAUUGUGUUUCGGUUUGCAUUUCUUUGCUUUCUAGCAAAGUUGAACAUCUUUCCAUGUUAAGCAGUUGUAUUUUCUCUUUUGUGGAUCGUCCGUGUCAUUUGCUCUUAUCUACUGGGGUCUGAUAAAUUUGUAUGAGCUUGUUAUAUAUUAAAGAUAUUAACCUGUUGUGUGUCAUAUUUGCUGUCCAUGUGUCCAGUUUUCUACCUUUGUGUCUUAAUUGAAAUUUUGACUUCUUAUAGAGCCGAUCCACUCUCGUUGGGCACAGUGCCCACUAGCCUCUAACCCAACAACACGACGCAGACACAUAGGUUUUGUCCCUUUGGCUCAUGGCUGUAUCAUCGUACCUGUAACAACACGACGUGGUAGGCACUCCAUACACCUGUGGCAGGUUGUUACAUGGGUGGAUGUGCUGGGUGCUGGGGGUCUGCGGAUGGGUAUAACAGGCCCAGCCCACAUGUCUGCGGACCGAGAGCAGUUCUCCAACCUUUGGGUCUCACAGUCCCUUUGCACCGUUGAAAAUCACUUAGGACCCCAAAGAGCUUUUGCUUAGGUAGAUCUUACUUACCAAUGUUCACCAUGUUAAAAUGGAGAAUGUCUGAAAAUAUUAUUUUGAAAGCAAACUCAUUACAUGACAGCACGAGUAGCAUAUUUUAAUGAAAACUCUCUUGAAUUUCCCAGAACAAAACAAAACAAAAAACGAGUCAGAAGAGUGGCAUUGUUCUGCAUUUUUUUUUUUUUUUUGCAAAUUUCUUUGAAGCCUGGCUCAAUGGAAGACAGCUGGAGUCGCACACCCGCUUCUGCACUCAAUCUCUUGCAAGAUCGCUUCUCACGUAGCCUCUGAAAAAUUCCAUUGCGCACCCAUGAGAUAGACUGAAAAAGGCGGAGACAAUUCGAGCAUUAUUACAAAACCAAUUUCCUAUCACAGACCCCCCUCCGAGCCUCCUGCCCACUCAGUACCGCUGGUCUAAGAAGAGACAGGCCUCGGCAGGUCUGCAGACACCUACAUCCUUUGUGGUUUCUUUCAGUGUUUUAUUUUUUGAGGUUUCAGUGUUUUAUUUAUUGUUUUGAGGGCAUCUAUUUGAGAGGGGGAGAGUGAGAGCAUGAGCAGGGAGAGGGGGAGGAGAGGGGAAGCAGACUCCCCAUGGAGUGGGGAGCCAGACACGGGGCUGGAUCCCAGGACCUUGAGACCAUGACCUGAGCAGAAGGCAGACGCUUAACUGACUGAGCCACCCGGGUGCCCCUCUUUCAGUGUUUGAAAAUUUAGGUCUUCUAUUGGUUCUAGAAUUAGCCUGGCAUGGAGUGCAAGGUGAGGCUCUAAACUGACUUUUUCCCAAAAUAUUUAAACAUCCUGAGAUCAUCUGUUAAUUCUUUCUGUCUCAUUGACGUGCAUUUUUUCAUCACAUUUGAAGGUCUUACCUAUUAUAGGGCCAGGUUUUCUAUCAUCCUUUGAUCCUCUGAGUUCCCUCUGCCACCCUUUUUUAAAAGUGAUUUUGGUUUUAUAAUUCACAUUCCUAUCUAGGAGGGUUCUCCUCCUUCAGGUUUUCUUAAUCUUUUCCAUCAGAUGAAUUUAAAAAUUAAUUCUAAGGUUUCCCAAAAUCUUGGUAACAGGUACAGACCUUGGAAAGGCAUCGCUGCUUUGGUGAGUUGCAUGCGGGGUGGGGCACUCCGAGCCGGGUGGCCCCUUCCUCCUACCCCCCAAGAC